GACGAACGCUGGCGGCGUGCUUAACACAUGCAAGUCGAACGGAAAGGCCCUGCUUUUGUGGGGUGCUCGAGUGGCGAACGGGUGAGUAACACGUGAGUAACCUGCCCUUGACUUUGGGAUAACUUCAGGAAACUGGGGCUAAUACCGGAUAGGAGCUCCUGCUGCAUGGUGGGGGUUGGAAAGUUUCGGCGGUUGGGGAUGGACUCGCGGCUUAUCAGCUUGUUGGUGGGGUAGUGGCUUACCAAGGCUUUGACGGGUAGCCGGCCUGAGAGGGUGACCGGCCACCUUGGGACUACGGUACGGCCCAGACUCCUACGGGAGGCAGCAGUGGGGAAUAUUGCGCAGUGGGCGGAAGCCUGAUGCAGCAACGCCGCGUGCGGGAUGACGGCCUUCGGGUUGUAAACCGCUUUCGCCUGUGACGAAGCGUGAGUGACGGUAAUGGGUAAAGAAGCACCGGCUAACUACGUG
rnacentral:rRNA from 1 species